GCAGUCGAACGGGAAUGACCUUCGGGUCUAGUACCGUGGCGCACGGGUGAGUCACUCGUGGGUAACCUGCCCUCGAGCGGGGGAUAACCAUUCGAAAGGAUGGCUAAUACCGCAUAAGGCAAUUUGGACGGGAGUCUGAAUUGUGAAAGACUUCGGUCACUUGAGGAUGGGCCCGCGUUCCAUUAGCUGGUUGGUAGGGUAACGGCCUACCAAGGCGUCGAUGGAUAGCUGGUCUGAGAGGACGAUCAGCCACACUGGGACUGAGACACGGCCCAGACUCCUACGGGAGGCAGCAGUGGGGAAUAUUGCGCAAUGGGGGGAACCCUGACGCAGCAACGCCGCGUGGGUGAGGAAGGCCUUCGGGUUGUAAAGCCCUGUCAGGUGGAACGAACGGCCGAGGUUAAUAGCCUUGGUAUGACGGUACCACCAGAGGAAGCACCGGCUAACUCCGUGCCAGCAGCCGCGGUAAUACGGAGGGUGCAAGCGUUGCUCGGAAUUACUGGGCGUAAAGCGUGCGCAGGCGGCUUGGCAAGUCAGACGUGAAAGUCCAGGGCUCAACCCUGGAAGGUCGUUUGAAACUACCGAGCUUGAGUACGGGAGAGGGGUGUGGAAUUCCCGGUGUAGGAGUGAAAUCCGUAGAUAUCGGGAGGAACACCAGUGGCGAAGGCGACACCCUGGCCCGAGACUGACGCUCAGGCACGAAAGCGUGGGUAGCAAACAGGAUUAGAUACCCUGGUAGUCCACGCCGUANACGAUGAGUGCUAGAUGUUGCGGUCGUCGGAUCGCAGUGUCGCAGUUAACGCGUUAAGCACUCCGCCUGGGGAGUAC
rnacentral:rRNA from 1 species